ensembl:rRNA 5S_rRNA 5S ribosomal RNA
GUCUACAGCCAUACCACCCUGAACUCGCCCAAUCUCGUCUGAUCUCAGAAGCUAAGCAGGGUCGAGCCUGGUUAGUACUUGGAUGGAAGGACGGGGUCUUACCCACCCAACCCAGAGGGUCGCAGAGG